AUUUCUCUGGUUGGUUUUCUGAACUGCUGGUUCUUUCCUUUGAAUUGAUAGAACAUGAGUGGAUAUCACUGUUAGAGGUUGCUAACUUGUCUAUGGGAUGUGAACCAACAAAGCAACCAGAAAGAAAUAGAUCAAGUCCUAUAUUCCUUCCAAUAAUGCUCUUGCCUCGACUUCUCAAAAUGCUGCUUUAUGUCCUAGAUAAAAAUUCAAGCUAUCAUCAAAAUUUGAGUUUGUGAGCGGUUCUUUCUACUUUGCUGUCAUCUGUUCUUUUGAUAUCCGAAACUGUGAUUGAGGAUCGUUUUGGAGUACAACAUGGGAGUGAUGGGUGGUAUGAUGCAUUAGAAAGGCACUUCACAAUCCAAGCCAUGCAGAAGUUUCCUGCUGCGCCCCAAAUGCAAAAACAAUCGUGUCUCAUGAUCCGGAAUCUUGUUGUCAGGAACUCAAAGAACAGAACUAUUUUGCUUGGUAAUGGUACUGAGAAGAUCAUAAGGAAGGCCAAGCAAAACCAUGAUAACUGCAAGGAGCUGCUGCUGCUGCAUUGAGGGAUCUAGGGCUUGACGACUACAACUCAUAGCCGUGGCUUUUACCAUUUCCUUUCUGGUAUGGUUCUUGUUUUUUUCUCUUGGUUGUUCUGGAAGGUUGCUUUGGUUGAAAAAUGGAAACAAUUCACUUGAGUUCUUUACCGAGUAUGAUUCUUGCAUGGAAACUAUGUCAAAGUCCGUGAUGGAAAAGUGAUGGUGAAUGGAGUAAUCCAAGACUAAGAUUUCAUUUUAGAGCCACUUGAAUAUGAAAUGGAUCCUGUGGUACAAAUCAUGAUGGGCCAUAUAGAAGAUGUUGAGUAUCUUCUUAUAAAAAGCCUCUCUGUAAGUUUACAUUGUAUACUGUGAUUCUAUAGGUUCAACUUUAGGCACCAGCCAUUCCUGUUUUUAUUUGAUAUGUGGAACUCUGACAAUUCCCUGAUCGAUGGUAUCUCAUUUACAUGGUGGAAUUGUUUGUUUGAGAAAAAAAAAAUGAAAUGCUUGGCCUGAACUAGUGACAUUUUCACUAGGUCCAGCAUUCCCCGAUGGUGUUUGUCCUUUCUUUGAUUCUUUAAAAAAAAAAUUGUGGGACUAAUCUGAACCAGUCCUGUUUGAGUUGUUCUGGCUACCAGAAUUUGCCCAUCUCCUAUUUGGUGGCUGGACUUGAAUAGCAAUUUUCUGUUUGGACUCCACACUCAUCUUUGUUUGGCGUCUUCUUCUUAUGAGGGUCUGUAGUUCAUCCUUUUAUGGCUAGUGUUUUUUCACGUUGUAAAAUUUCUAAUUUCUUACCAUUCCCAAUGCUUACCUUGAUUUUAUAAUGCACUACAUGUUUGGAUGGAAUUUAUUAUACUGCUUCAGGUUUGUGACAUCCAUA